GUGAGGGGUAGAGGAUGUCACAGACACAACACACCAAGGAGUUAUACUGGUUCUUCCAACUUGGGUUAUGUCCAGUCCCUACAACUGUAGGCUUUCCACAAAGACCAAGCCCCUUGUGGUAUUCUUAUUUUCCUGAAGCCUCACAAGCUCUUACAACUAGUUGUCUAUUACCAAGGAAUAUGGUGAAGCACUUGUUGGUAAAUGGAUUAAAGUUUGGUGGCCACUAGAUCAAAUGCCCCCUAAAAAGAGAAGGAAAACAAGUGUUGGUGAAUUCAAAAAGGAAUGAAAGAGGGAUUCUUUUUUUAGAAGGAAUUAAUGAAACAUUGGGCUUAAUCCGGAUUUUGGU